rnacentral:rRNA from 1 species
AGAGUUUGAUCAUGGCUCAGAUUGAACGCUGGCGGCAGGCCUAACACAUGCAAGUCGAACGGUAACAGGAAGAAGCUUGCUUCUUUGCUGACGAGUGGCGGACGGGUGAGUAAUGUCUGGGAAACUGCCUGAUGGAGGGGGAUAACUACUGGAAACGGUAGCUAAUACCGCAUAACGUCGCAAGACCAAAGAGGGGGACCUUCGGGCCUCUUGCCAUCGGAUGUGCCCAGAUGGGAUUAGCUAGUAGGUGGGGUAACGGCUCACCUAGGCGACGAUCCCUAGCUGGUCUGAGAGGAUGACCAGCCACACUGGAACUGAGACACGGUCCAGACUCCUACGGGAGGCAGCAGUGGGGAAUAUUGCACAAUGGGCGCAAGCCUGAUGCAGCCAUGCCGCGUGUAUGAAGAAGGCCUUCGGGUUGUAAAGUACUUUCAGCGGGGAGGAAGGGAGUAAAGUUAAUACCUUUGCUCAUUGACGUUACCCGCAGAAGAAGCACCGGCUAACUCCGUGCCAGCAGCCGCGGUAAUACGGAGGGUGCAAGCGUUAAUCGGAAUUACUGGGCGUAAAGCGCACGCAGGCGGUUUGUUAAGUCAGAUGUGAAAUCCCCGGGCUCAACCUGGGAACUGCAUCUGAUACUGGCAAGCUUGAGUCUCGUAGAGGGGGGUAGAAUUCCAGGUGUAGCGGUGAAAUGCGUAGAGAUCUGGAGGAAUACCGGUGGCGAAGGCGGCCCCCUGGACGAAGACUGACGCUCAGGUGCGAAAGCGUGGGGAGCAAACAGGAUUAGGUACCCUGGUAGUCCACGCCGUAAACGAUGUCGACUUGGAGGUUGUGCCCUUGAGGCGUGGCUUCCGGAGCUAACGCGUUAAGUCGACCGCCUGGGGAGUACGGCCGCAAGGUUAAAACUCAAAUGAAUUGACGGGGGCCCGCACAAGCGGUGGAGCAUGUGGUUUAAUUCGAUGCAACGCGAAGAACCUUACCUGGUCUUGACAUCCACAGAACUUUCCAGAGAUGGAUUGGUGCCUUCGGGAACUGUGAGACAGGUGCUGCAUGGCUGUCGUCAGCUCGUGUUGUGAAAUGUUGGGUUAAGUCCCGCAACGAGCGCAACCCUUAUCUUUUGUUGCCAGCGGUCCGGCCGGGAACUCAAAGGAGACUGCCAGUGAUAAACUGGAGGAAGGUGGGGAUGACGUCAAGUCAUCAUGGCCCUUACGACCAGGGCUACACACGUGCUACAAUGGCGCAUACAAAGAGAAGCGACCUCGCGAGAGCAAGCGGACCUCAUAAAGUGCGUCGUAGUCCGGAUUGGAGUCUGCAACUCGACUCCAUGAAGUCGGAAUCGCUAGUAAUCGUGGAUCAGAAUGCCACGGUGAAUACGUUCCCGGGCCUUGUACACACCGCCCGUCACACCAUGGGAGUGGGUUGCAAAAGAAGUAGGUAGCUUAACCUUCGGGAGGGCGCUUACCACUUUGUGAUUCAUGACUGGGGUGAAGUCGUAACAAGGUAACCGUAGGGGAACCUGCGGUUG